GGUGACCUGCGGAGGGAUCAUUACACAAAUAUGAAGGCGGGCUGGAACCUCUCGGGGUUACAGCCUUGCUGAAUUAUUCACCCUUGUCUUUUGCGUACUUCUUGUUUCCUUGGUGGGUUCGCCCACCACUAGGACAAACAUAAACCUUUUGUAAUUGCAAUCAGCGUCAGUAACAAAUUAAUAAUUACAACUUUCAACAACGGAUCUCUUGGUUCUGGCAUCGAUGAAGAACGCAGCGAAAUGCGAUAAGUAGUGUGAAUUGCAGAAUUCAGUGAAUCAUCGAAUCUUUGAACGCACAUUGCGCCCUUUGGUAUUCCAAAGGGCAUGCCUGUUCGAGCGUCAUUUGUACCCUCAAGCUUUGCUUGGUGUUGGGCGUCUUGUCUCUAGCUUUGCUGGAGACUCGCCUUAAAGUAAUUGGCAGCCGGCCUACUGGUUUCGGAGCGCAGCACAAGUCGCACUCUCUAUCAGCAAAGGUCUAGCAUCCAUUAAGCCUUUUUUUCAACUUUUGACCUCGGAUCAGGUAGGGAUACCCGCUGAACUUAAGCAUAUCAAUAAGCGGAGGAAAAGAAACCAACAGGGAUUGCCCUAGUAACGGCGAGUGAAGCGGCAACAGCUCAAUUUGA
rnacentral:rRNA from 1 species